rnacentral:rRNA from 1 species
GACGAACGCUGGCGGCGUGCUUAACACAUGCAAGUCGAACGAAGUGGCGAACGGGUGAGUAACGCGUAAUCAACCUGCCCUUCAGAGGGGGACAACAGUUGGAAACGACUGCUAAUACCGCAUACUGAAGGAGGGGAUUGCGUCUGAUUAGCUAGUUGGAGGGGGAACGGCCCACCAAGGCGAUGAUCAGUAGCCGGUCUGGGAGGAUGAACGGCCACAUUGGGGCUGAGACACGGCCCAGAAUCCUCAGGGGGGCAGCAAGGGGGGAACUUCCGCAAUGGACGGAAGGCUGACGGGGCAACGCCGGGGGAGUGAUGAAGGCCUUCGGGUUGUAAAGCUCUGUUAAUCGGGACGCGGUACCGGAAUAGAAAGCCACGGCUAACUACGUGCCAGCAGCCGCGGUAAUAC